GAUGAACGCUGGCGGCGUGCCUAAUACAUGCAAGUCGAGCGAAUGGAUUAAGAGCUUGCUCUUAUGAAGUUAGCGGCGGACGGGUGAGUAACACGUGGGUAACCUGCCCAUAAGACUGGGAUAACUCCGGGAAACCGGGGCUAAUACCGGAUAACAUUUUGAACCGCAUGGUUCGAAAUUGAAAGGCGGCUUCGGCUGUCACUUAUGGAUGGACCCGCGUCGCAUUAGCUAGUUGGGGAGGUAACGGCUCACCAAGGCAACGAUGCGUAGCCGACCUGAGAGGGUGAUCGGCCACACUGGGACUGAGACACGGCCCAGACUCCUACGGGAGGCAGCAGUAGGGAAUCUUCCGCAAUGGACGAAAGGCUGAAGGAGCAAGGCCGCGUGAGUGAUGAAGGCUUUCGGGUCGUAAAACUCUGUUGUUAGGGAAGAACAAGUGCUAGUUGAAUAAGCUGGCACCUUGACGGUACCUAACCAGAAAGCCACGGCUAACUACGUGCCAGCCGCCGCGGUAA
rnacentral:rRNA from 1 species